rnacentral:rRNA from 1 species
CAGUCGCACGGUAAUACGAAGGGUGCAAGCGUUACUCGGAAUUACUGGGCGUAAAGCGUGUGUAGGUGGUUGUUUAAGUCUGUCGUGAAAGCCCUGGGCUCAACCUGGGAAUUGCGAUGGAUACUGGGCGACUAGAGUGCGGUAGAGGAUAGUGGAAUUUCCGGUGUAGUAGUGAAAUGCGUAGAGAUCGGAAGGAACAUCUGUGGCGAAGGCGACUAUCUGGGCCAACACUGACACUGAGACACGAAAGCGUGGGGAGCAAACAGGAUUAGAGACCCGAGUAGUCCCUGUCUCUUAUACC